GUCGAACGGGAUCCAUCAAGCUUGCUUGGUGGUGAGAGUGGCGAACGGGUGAGUAAUGCGUGACCGACCUGCCCCAUGCUCCGGAAUAGCUCCUGGAAACGGGUGGUAAUGCCGGAUGUUCCACAUGAUCGCAUGUGAUUGUGGGAAAGAUUCUAUCGGCGUGGGAUGGGGUCGCGUCCUAUCAGCUUGUUGGUGAGGUAACGGCUCACCAAGGCUUCGACGGGUAGCCGGCCUGAGAGGGCGACCGGCCACAUUGGGACUGAGAUACGGCCCAGACUCCUACGGGAGGCAGCAGUGGGGAAUAUUGCACAAUGGGCGCAAGCCUGAUGCAGCGACGCCGCGUGAGGGAUGGAGGCCUUCGGGUUGUAAACCUCUUUUGUUUGGGAGCAAGCCUUCGGGUGAGUGUACCUUUCGAAUAAGCGCCGGCUAACUACGUGCCAGCAGCCGCGGUAAUACGUAGGGCGCAAGCGUUAUCCGGAUUUAUUGGGCGUAAAGGGCUCGUAGGCGGCUCGUCGCGUCCGGUGUGAAAGUCCAUCGCUUAACGGUGGAUCUGCGCCGGGUACGGGCGGGCUGGAGUGCGGUAGGGGAGACUGGAAUUCCCGGUGUAACGGUGGAAUGUGUAGAUAUCGGGGAAGAACACCGAUGGCGAAGGCAGGUCUCUGGGCCGU
rnacentral:rRNA from 1 species